rnacentral:rRNA from 1 species
UCACGUGUGGUAGAGGAGCAUUGUGUGCUGGGAGAAGCUGUACCGUAAGGAGCAGUGGACGGCACAGAAGAGAGAAUGCCGGUAUGAGUAGCGAAAAGAGGGGUGAGAAUCCCCUCCGCCGAAAGUCUAAGGUUUCCUGAGGAAGGCUCGUCCUCUCAGGGUAAGCCGGGACCUAAGCCGAGGCCGAAAGGCGUAGGCGAUGGGUAAUCGGUAGAAAUUCCGAUGCCACUAUUAAUUGCUUGAGUGAGGUGGGGACGCGGUAAGAGAAGCAAUCACGCGAAUGGAAGUGCGUGUAGAAGCCGAAGGUAGGAUGAAGGAGGUAAAUCCCUUUCAUUGCUAACUGUCUGAGGUGAUCUGGAGCCAAAUGAGGUGAAGUUGCUGAUCAAACUGCCAAGAAAAGCCACUAGCGAGAUUAAUAGUGCCCGUACCGCAAACCGACACAGGUAGACAGGGUGAGAAUCCUAAGGCGCGCGAGAGAACCCUUGUUAAGGAACUCGGCAAAAUGACCCCGUAACUUUGGGAGAAGGGGUACCACAACAGGUUAAGAGCUAGUAGUGGUCGAAGAAAAGAGGCCCAAGCGACUGUUUAGCAAAAACACAGGUCUCUGCUAAGUCGUAAGACGAAGUAUAGGGGCUGACGCCUGCCCGGUGCUGGAAGGUCAAGGGGAAUGCUUAGCAUUAAUGCGAAGGUAUGAACCUAAGCCCCAGUAAACGGCGGCCGUAACUAUAACGGUCCUAAGGUAGCGAAAUUCCUUGUCGGGUAAGUUCCGACCUGCACGAAUGGCGUAACGACUUGGGCACUGUCUCAACAAGGGACUCGGCGAAAUUGUAGUACCAGUAAAGAUGCUGGUUACCUGCGACAGGACGGAAAGACCCCGUGGAGCUUUACUGUAGCCUGACAUUGGGUUUUGCUGUAGAACGUACAGGAUAGGUGGGAGGCUUUGAAGUUGGUGCGCUAGCAUCAGCUGAGCCGCAAGUGGGAUACCACUCUUUCUACAGCGGAAUUCUAACCAGAGGCCGUAAUCCGGUCAUGGGACAUUAUCAGGUGGGCAGUUUGACUGGGGCGGUCGCCUCCCAAAAUGUAACGGAGGCGCCCAAAGGUUCCCUCAGUGCGGAUGGAAAUCGCACGUAGAGUGUAAAGGCAAAAGGGAGCUUAACUGUGAGACAUACAGGUCGAACAGGUACGAAAGUAGGGCUUAGUGAUCCGGCGAUAUUGAAUGGAAAAGUCGUCGCUCAACGGAUAAAAGCUACCCCGGGGAUAACAGGCUUAUCUCCCCCAAGAGUUCACAUCGACGGGGAGGUUUGGCACCUCGAUGUCGGCUCGUCGCAUCCUGGGGCUGUAGCAGGUCCCAAGGGUUGGGCUGUUCGCCCAUUAAAGCGGUACGCGAGCUGGGUUCAGAACGUCGUGAGACAGUUCGGUCCCUAUCCGUCGCAGGCGUAGGAUACUUGAGAGGAUCUGUCCCUAGUACGAGAGGACCGGGAUGGACACACCGAUGGUGUAUCGGUUGUUCCGCCAGGAGCAUAGCCGAGUAGCUAAGUGUGGAAUGGAUAAACGCUGAAAGCAU